CCGCGACCCCAGGUCAGGCGGGGCCACCCGCUGAGUUUAAGCAUAUCAAUAAGCGGAGGAGAAGAAACUUACGAGGAUUCCCCUAGUAACGGCGAGCGAACCGGGAACAGCCCAGCUUGAGAAUCGGGCGGCCGUGCCGCUCGAAUUGUAGUCUGGAGAAGCGUCCUCAGCGACGGACCGGGCCCAAGUCCCCUGGAAAGGGGCGCCAGGGAGGGUGAGAGCCCCGUCCGGCCCGGACCCUGCCGCACCACGAGGCGCUGUCGGCGAGUCGGGUUGUUUGGGAAUGCAGCCCCAAUCGGGCGGUAAAUUCCGUCCAAGGCUAAAUAGCGGCGAGAGACCGAUAGCGAACAAGUACCGCGAGGGAAAGAUGAAAAGGACUUUGAAAAGAGAGUCAAAGAGUGCUUGAAAUUGUCGGGAGGGAAGCGGAUGGGGGCCGGCGAUGCGCACCGGCCGGAUGCGGAACGGCCCCGAAAGGGCCGUCCCGA
rnacentral:rRNA from 1 species